CCCUUAGAUGUUCUGGGCCGCACGCGCGCUACACUGACGAAUGCAACGAGCUUAUAACCUUGGCCGAAAGGUCUGGGUAAUCUCCAAAUUUCGUCGUGAUGGGGAUAGAUUAUUGCAAUUAUUAAUCUUCAACGAGGAAUGCCUAGUAAGCGCAAGUCAUCAGCUUGCGUUGAUUACGUCCCUGCCCUUUGUACACACCGCCCGUCGCUCCUACCGAUUGAAUGGUCCGGUGAAGCGUUCGGACCGCUUCCUUUGGACGGGCAACCGUCUGUUGGUCGUGGGAAGUUCGUUAAACCUUNUNAUUUAUNGGAAGGAGAANUCGUANCA
rnacentral:rRNA from 1 species